GAUGAACGAGGGCGGAGGGAGGAAUACAGACAAGUCGAGCGACCAGACGAGGAGCUUGCUCCUCUGACGUUAGCGGCGGACGGGUGAGUAACACGUGGAUAACCUACCUAUAAGACUGGGAUAACUUCGGGAAACCGGAGCUAAUACCGGAUAAUAUAUUGAACCGCAUGGUUCAAUAGUGAAAGACGGUUUUGCUGUCACUUAUAGAUGGAUCCGCGCCGCAUUAGCUAGUUGGUAAGGUAACGGCUUACCAAGGCAACGAUGCGUAGCCGACCUGAGAGGGUGAUCGGCCACACUGGAACUGAGACACGGUCCAGACUCCUACGGGAGGCAGCAGUAGGGAAUCUUCCGCAAUGGGCGAAAGCCUGACGGAGCAACGCCGCGUGAGUGAUGAAGGUCUUCGGAUCGUAAAACUGUGUGAUUAGGGAAGAACAAAUGUGUAAGUAACUAUGCACGUCUUGACGGUACCUAAUCAGAAAGCCACGGCUACCUACGUG
rnacentral:rRNA from 1 species